GGGUGACACAUUUCUCUUUGGCAGAGAACAGGGGCCACAUCUGCGAGCUGUCAGCAAUCAGCAUUCCUAGUAGCUGAGUGGCCAAAUCAAUGAAGGUCCCUGUAUAUGAGACCCCAGCUGGAUGGAGAUUCUUCUCAAAUCUGAUGGACUCAGGACGUUGCAAUCUGUGUGGGGAAGAGAGCUUUGGCACUGGCUCUGACCACCUCCGAGAGAAGGAUGGCCUCUGGGCUGUCUUGGUCUGGCUCUCCAUUAUUGCUGCCCGGAAGCAGAGUGUGGAGGAAAUUGUCCGAGAUCACUGGGCCAAAUUUGGCCGCCACUACCAUUGCAGGUUUGACUAUGAGGGGUUGGAUCCCAGGACGACAUAUUAUAUCAUGAGGGACCUGGAGGCCCUGGUCACAGACAAAUCCUUCAUUGGCCAGCAGUUUGCUGUGGGGAGCCAUGUCUACAGUGUGGCGAAGACGGAUAGCUUUGAAUACGUGGACCCUGUGGAUGGCACUGUGACCAAGAAACAGGGCCUAAGGAUCAUUUUCUCGGAUGCAUCACGGCUCAUCUUCCGGCUCAGUUCCUCCAG
rnacentral:sRNA from 1 species